GGGUCUCAGAAGGCAGUGCUGUUGGGGAAUCUCCACCAUGGCCUGGGCUCUGCUCCUCAUCACCCUCUUCACUCAGGGCACAGGGUCCUGGGCACAGUCUGCCCUGACUCAGCCUGCGUCAGUGUCCGGGACUCUGGGACAGUCGGUCACCAUCUCCUGUGCUGGAAGCAGCAGCAACAUUGGAAGUUAUAACUAUGUUUCCUGGUACCAACAGCACCCGGGCACAGCCCCCAAACUCCUCAUUUAUAGUGUCAGUUCUCGGGCUUCUGGGAUCCCUGAUCGCUUCUCUGGCUCCAAGUCUGGGAACACGGCCUCUCUGACCAUCUCGGGGCUCCAGGCUGAGGACGAGGCCGAUUAUUUCUGUAGCUCACGUGCAGGUAGUAAUACUGUCCACAGUUGUGCAAGUUCAUGGGGAAGUGAGAGCAAAACCUUCCCUGAGCUCACAGGCUCCCUCUUUGCUCUGAAGAUGCUUCUACAACCCCUGGCACAGGAGGCUUCCUGCAGCCUGGUUUGA